rnacentral:rRNA from 1 species
UACGAAGGGUGCAAACGUUGCUCGGAAUUAUUGGGCGUAAAGCGCACGUAGGCGGCUUAGCAAGUCGGAAGUGAAAUCCCACGGCUCAACCAUGGAAGUGCUUUCGAAACUGCUGAGCUUGAGUACGAAAGAGGAUCGCGGAAUUCCCGGUGUAGAGGUGAAAUUCGUAGAUAUCGGGAGGAACACCGGUGGCGAAGGCGGCUUCCUGGACCGACACUGACGCUGAGGCGCGAAAGCUAGGGGAGCAAACGGG